CGGAUGAUGUGAAUAAUCAUUGAACAGAGAUCGUAUAAUACUCUUGUUUGCUGAUCUUGUUCUCUCAUUUUUUUUUUUUUUUAAAUGGGAAAAUUGGAAAAUGUAAAACAAUAGGAUAAGAACUGGUGAAGAUUUCGGGGAAAAGGAUUGGGAUCUGUAUCGGUUUACAAGAAACGAGACGAAAGGAUAAACUCAAGAGGAUUGUGUUGAAGCCAUUCUCGAAAUCUUACUAUUAUUGGCAUAUACAAACAAAAAGUACUAUAAUGCAGCGUGUAUUACG
rnacentral:lncRNA from 1 species